CCAAAGGCCCUUUUAAGGGCCACCCAAUCGUGAUUCAAAGAGCAA
rfam:Gasterosteus aculeatus cont1.000594, whole genome shotgun sequence.